AAUAAUCUUCAGGGCAGGGUGAAAUUCCCUACCGGCGGUAAAGCCCGCGAGCCGUAAAUGGCAUGAUUCGGUGAAACUCCGAAGCCGACAGUAAAGUCUGGAUGAAAGAAGAUAAUG
rfam:Clostridium sp. JC272 contig388, whole genome shotgun sequence.